rnacentral:rRNA from 1 species
AGACCCGAAACCCGGUGAUCUAGCCAUGGGCAGGUUGAAGGUUGGGUAACACUAACUGGAGGACCGAACCGACUAAUGUUGAAAAAUUAGCGGAUGACCUGUGGCUGGGGGUGAAAGGCCAAUCAAACCGGGAGAUAGCUGGUUCUCCCCGAAAGCUAUUUAGGUAGCGCCUCGUGAAUUCAUCUCCGGGGGUAGAGCACUGUUUCGGCUAGGGGGCCAUCCCGGCUUACCAACCCGAUGCAAACUGCGAAUACCGGAGAAUGUUAUCACGGGAGACACACGGCGGGUGCUAACGUCCGUCGUGAAGAGGGAAACAACCCAGACCGCCAGCUAAGGUCCCAAAGUCAUGGUUAAGUGGGAAACGAUGUGGGAAGGCCCAGACAGCCAGGAUGUUGGCUUAGAAGCAGCCAUCAUUUAAAGAAAGCGUAAUAGCUCACUGGUCGAGUCGGCCUGCGCGGAAGAUGUAACGGGGCUAAACCAUGCACCGAAGCUGCGGCAGCGAACGUAUCACCCAAGACAACUUUACGGAGUUGACGAUUGACGGAGCGAAGCGACGUCAAAGCGUUCAUUAAAGUCGAGUUGGCUUAGGGAUACGUUCGUUGGGUAGGGGAGCGUUCUGUAAGCCUGUGAAGGUGUGUCGUGAGGCAUGCUGGAGGUAUCAGAAGUGCGAAUGCUGACAUAAGUAACGAUAAAGCGGGUGAAAAGCCCGCUCGCCGGAAGACCAAGGGUUCCUGUCCAACGUUAAUCGGGGCAGGGUGAGUCGACCCCUAAGGCGAGGCCGAAAGGCGUAGUCGAUGGGAAACGGGUUAAUAUUCCCGUACUUGGUGUUACUGCGAAGGGGGGACGGAGAAGGCUAUGUUGGCCGGGCGACGGUUGUCCCGGUUUAAGCGUGUAGGUGUGUGUUCCAGGUAAAUCCGGUUCACUUUAACACUGAGGCGUGACGACGAGGCACUACGGUGCUGAAGCAACAAAUGCCCUGCUUCCAGGAAAAGCCUCUAAGCAUCAGGUAACACGAAAUCGUACCCCAAACCGACACAGGUGGUCAGGUAGAGAAUACCAAGGCGCUUGAGAGAACUCGGGUGAAGGAACUAGGCAAAAUGGUGCCGUAACUUCGGGAGAAGGCACGCUGACACGUAGGUGAAGUGAUUUACUCAUGGAGCUGAAGUCAGUCGAAGAUACCAGCUGGCUGCAACUGUUUAUUAAAAACACAGCACUGUGCAAACACGAAAGUGGACGUAUACGGUGUGACGCCUGCCCGGUGCCGGAAGGUUAAUUGAUGGGGUCAGCGCAAGCGAAGCUCCUGAUCGAAGCCCCGGUAAACGGCGGCCGUAACUAUAACGGUCCUAAGGUAGCGAAAUUCCUUGUCGGGUAAGUUCCGACCUGCACGAAUGGCGUAAUGAUGGCCAGGCUGUCUCCACCCGAGACUCAGUGAAAUUGAACUCGCUGUGAAGAUGCAGUGUACCCGCGGCAAGACGGAAAGACCCCGUGAACCUUUACUAUAGCUUGACACUGAACAUUGAGCCUUGAUGUGUAGGAUAGGUGGGAGGCUUUGAAGUGUGGACGCCAGUCUGCAUGGAGCCGACCUUGAAAUACCACCCUUUAAUGUUUGAUGUUCUAACGUGGACCCGUAAUCCGGGUUGCGGACAGUGUCUGGUGGGUAGUUUGACUGGGGCGGUCUCCUCCUAAAGAGUAACGGAGGAGCACGAAGGUUGGCUAAUCCUGGUCGGACAUCAGGAGGUUAGUGCAAUGGCAUAAGCCAGCUUGACUGCGAGCGUGACGGCGCGAGCAGGUGCGAAAGCAGGUCAUAGUGAUCCGGUGGUUCUGAAUGGAAGGGCCAUCGCUCAACGGAUAAAAGGUACUCCGGGGAUAACAGGCUGAUACCGCCCAAGAGUUCAUAUCGACGGCGGUGUUUGGCACCUCGAUGUCGGCUCAUCACAUCCUGGGGCUGAAGUAGGUCCCAAGGGUAUGGCUGUUCGCCAUUUAAAGUGGUACGCGAGCUGGGUUUAGAACGUCGUGAGACAGUUCGGUCCCUAUCUGCCGUGGGCGCUGGAGAACUGAGGGGGGCUGCUCCUAGUACGAGAGGACCGGAGUGGACGCAUCACUGGUGUUCGGGUUGUCAUGCCAAUGGCACUGCCCGGUAGCUAAAUGCGGAAGAGAUAAGUGCUGAAAGCAUCUAAGCACGAAACUUGCCCCGAGAUGAGUUCUCCCUGAGACUUUAGGUCUCCUGAAGGAACGUUGAAGACGACGACGUUGAUAGGCCGGGUGUGUAAGCGCAGCGAUGCGUUGAGCUAACCGGUACUAAUGAACCGUGAGGCUUAACCUUACAACGCCGAAG